GAUGAACGCUGGCGGCGUGCCUAAUACAUGCAAGUCGAGCGAACGGACGAGAAGCUUGCUUCUCUGAUGUUAGCGGCGGACGGGUGAGUAACACGUGGAUAACCUACCUAUAAGACUGGGAUAACUUCGGGAAACCGGAGCUAAUACCGGAUAAUAUUUUGAACCGCAUGGUUCAAAAGUGAAAGACGGUCUUGCUGUCACUUAUAGAUGGAUCCGCACUGCAUUAGCUAGUUGGUAAGGUAACGGCUUACCAAGGCAACGAUGCAUAGCCGACCUGAGAGGGGGAUCGGCCACACUGGAACGGGAACAGGGUCCAGGCUCCUACGGGAGGCAGCAGUCGGGAAUGUUACGCAAUGGGCGAAAGCCUGACGGAACAAGGCCGCGUGAGUGAUGAAGGUCUUCGGAUCGUGAAAAUGUGUUAUUAGGGAAGAACAUAUGUGUAAGGAACUGUGCAGAUCUUGACGGUACCUAAUCAGAAAGCCACGGCUAACUACGUG
rnacentral:rRNA from 1 species